UUCGGAUUGCAGGCUGCAACCCGCCUGCAUGAAGUUGGAAUCGCUAGUAAUCGCGGAUCAGCAUGCCGCGGUGAAUACGUUCCCGGGCCUUGUACACACCGCCCGUCACACCAUGAGAGUCGGGAACACCCGAAGUCCGUAGCCUGACCGCAAGGGGGGCGCGGCCGAAGGUGGGUUCGAUAAUUGGGGUGAAGUCGUAACAAGGUAGC
rnacentral:rRNA from 1 species